UGCCUUAGUACGGCGAGUGAAGCGGCAAUAGCUCAAAUUUGAAAGCUGGCCCCUUCGGGGUCCGCGUUGUAAUUUGUAGAGGAUGAUUCGGCGAGGGCUCCCGUCUAAGUCCCUUGGAACAGGGCGUCAUAGAGGGUGAGAAUCCCGUAUGUGAUGGGCUGCCUUAGCCAUGUGAAUCUCCUUCGACGAGUCGAGUUGUUUGGGAAUGCAGCUCUAAAUGGGAGGUAAAUUUCUUCUAAAGCUAAAUACCGGCCAGAGACCGAUAGCGCACAAGUAGAGUGAUCGAAAGAUGAAAAGCACUUUGGAAAGAGAGUUAAAAAGUACGUGAAAUUGUUGAAAGGGAAGCGCUUGCAGCCAGACUUGUCCGCAGUUGCUCAGCUUGUCUCCUGACAGGCGUACUCUUCUGCGGCCAGGCCAGCAUCAGUUCGGGCGGUCGGAUAAAGACCUGGGGAAUGUAGCUCCUCUCGGGGAGUGUUAUAGCCCUGGGUGCAAUGCGGCCAGCCUGGACUGAGGAUCUCGCUUCGGCUAGGAUGCUGGCGUAAUGGCUGUAAGCGGCCCGUCUUGAAACACGGACCAAGGAGUCUAACAUCUAUGCGAGUGUUUGGGUGUCAAACCCAUGCGCGUAAUGAAAGUGAACGGAGGUGGGAACCCUCACGGGUGCACCAUCGACCGAUCCUGAUGUCUUCGGAUGGAUUUGAGUAAGAGCAUAGCUGUUGGGACCCGAAAGAUGGUGAACUAUGCCUGAAUAGGGUGAAGCCAGAGGAAACUCUGGUGGAGGCUCGCAGCGGUUCUGACGUGCAAAUCGAUCGUCAAAUUUGGGUAUAGGGGCGAAAGACUAAUC
rnacentral:rRNA from 1 species